rnacentral:rRNA from 1 species
GAUGAACGCUGGCGGCGUGCCUAAUACAUGCAAGUCGAGCGAACAGAUGAGGAGUUUGCUCCUCUGACGUUAGCGGCGGACGGGUGAGUAACACGUGGAUAACCUACCUAUAAGACGGGGAUAACUUCGGGAAGCCGGAUCAUAUACCGGAUAAUAUAUUGAACCACAUGAUUCACUAGUGAAAUGCAGUUUUGUUGUUACUUGUUGAUGGAUCCUCGCCUCAUUUGCUUGUUGGUAAGGUAACGGCUUACCAAGGCAACAUUUAGUAGCCGACCUGAGAGGGUGAUCGGCAACACUGGACUGGGGCAACGGUCAAGCCUCCUACGGGAGGAACCAGUAGGGAAUCUUCCGCAAUGGGCGAAAGCCUGACGGAGAAACGCCGCGUGAGUGAUGAAGGUCUUCGGAUCGUAAAACUCUGUUAUAAGGGAAGACCAAAUGUGUAAGUAACUAUGCACGUCUUGACGGUACCUUAUCAGAAAGCCACGGCUAACUACGUG